rnacentral:rRNA from 1 species
UGGGGAAUAUUGGACAAUGGGCGAAAGCCUGAUCCAGCCAUGCCGCGUGAGUGACGAAGGCCUUAGGGUUGUAAAACUCUUUCGUCGGGGACGAUAAUGACGGUACCCGAAGAAGAAGCUCCGGCUAACUUCGUGCCAGCAGCCGCGGUAAUCCGAAGGGAGCUAGCGUUGUUCGGAAUCACUGGGCGUAAAGCGCACGUAGGCGGAUAGUUAAGUCAGGGGUGAAAUCCUGGGGCUCAACCCCAGAACUGCCUUUGAUACUGGCUGUCUCGAGGUCGAGAGAGGUUGGUGGAAUUCCUAGUGUAGAGGUGAAAUUCGUAGAUAUUAGGAAGAACACCAGUGGCGAAGGCGGCCAACUGGCUCGAUACUGACGCUGAGGUGCGAAAGCGUGGGAGCAAACAGGAUUAGAUACCCAAGUAGUCCCUGAGCGGGCUGGCAAGGCGCAU